UGAACCGCGAAUGGCUCAUUAAAUCAGUUAUGGUUCCUUAGAUGAUGCACACCUACAUGGAUAACUGUGGUAAUUCUAGAGCUAAUACAUGCAACUCGGUCCCGACCGGCGACGGAAGGGACGCUUUUAUUAGAUCAAAACCAAUCGGUCUUCGGGCCGUUUGCCUUGGUGACUCUGAAUAAAUUGUGGCAGAUCGCACGGCCCCCGAGCCGGCGACGCAUCUUUCAAAUGUCUGCCUUAUCAACUGUCGAUGGUAGGUUCUGCGCCUACCAUGGUUGUAACGGGUAACGGGGAAUCAGGGUUCGAUUCCGGAGAGGGAGCCUGAGAAACGGCUACCACAUCCAAGGAAGGCAGCAGGCGCGCAAAUUACCCACUCCCGGCACGGGGAGGUAGUGACGAAAAAUAACGAUACGGGACUCAUCCGAGGCCCCGUAAUCGGAAUGAGUACACUUUAAAUCCUUUAACGAGUAUCAAUUGGAGGGCAAGUCUGGUGCCAGCAGCCGCGGUAAUUCCAGCUCCAAUAGCGUAUAUUAAAGUUGUUGCGGUUAAAAAGCUCGUAGUCGGACUUGUGUCCCACGCUGCCGGUUCACCGCUCGUCGGUGUCUAACUGGCAUGCACGUGUGGACGUCCUGCCGGUGGCCCGAUCCGGCGCGGGUUUCGCACCUGUCGUCCGGGGAAGGCCUAUCAUACCCGUCGCGGUGCUCUUAACCGAGUGUCUCGAUGGGCCGGCACGUUUACUUUGAACAAAUUAGAGUGCUUAAAGCAGGCAGCAUCCGCCUGAAUACCGAGUGCAUGGAAUAAUGGAAUAGGACCUCGGUUCUAUUUUGUUGGUUUUCGGAAUCCCCGAGGUAAUGAUCAAUAGGGACAGACGGGGCAUUCGUAUUGCGACCUUGAAGGUGAAAUUCUUGGAUCGUCACAGGACGGACCGAAGCCAAAGCAUUUGCCAAGAAUGUUUUCUCUGAUCAAGAACGAAAGUUAGAGGUUCGAAGGCGAUCAGAUACCGCCCUAGUUCUAACCAUAAACAAUGCCAGCCAGCAAUCCGCCAAAGUUCCUCCGAUGACUCGGCGGGCGGCUUCCGGGAAACCAAAGCUUUUGGGUUCCGGGGGAAGUAUGGUUGCAAAGCUGA
rnacentral:rRNA from 1 species